GUCGGCGUUAUUACGGUGCAACCCACACAAGUGGGGGUAAUGACAGAGCUUCCAGGCCGUGUGGAUGCUUCGCGUGUCGCGGAAGUACGCGCACGAGUCGCGGGCAUCGUGCAAAAACGCGUUUUUGCCGAAGGCUCGGAUGUCAAGGCUGGACAACUGCUGUACGUGAUUG
rnacentral:ncRNA from 1 species